rnacentral:rRNA from 1 species
CCCUUAGAUGUUCUGGGCCGCACGCGCGCUACACUGACGAUGGCAACGAGUUUUUCCUUCGCCGAAAGGUGUGGGUAAUCUUUUGAAACAUCGUCGUGCUGGGGAUAGAUCAUUGCAAUUUUUGAUCUUGAACGAGGAAUUCCUAGUAAGCGCGAGUCAUCAGCUCGCGUUGAUUACGUCCCUGCCCUUGUACACACCGCCCGUCGCUACUACCGAUUGAAUGGUUUAGUGAGGACUCCUGAUUGGCGCCGCCGCCCCGGCAACGGAGCAGCGGACUGCCGAAAAGUUGUUCAAACUUGAUCAUUUAGAGGAAGUAAAAGUCGUAACA